rnacentral:rRNA from 1 species
UACAGAGGUCUCAAGCGUUGUUCGGAUUCAUUGGGCGUAAAGGGUGCGUAGGUGGCGUCGUAAGUCAGGUGUGAAAUUUCGGAGCUUAACUCCGAAACUGCAUUUGAUACUGCGGUGCUUGAGGACUGGAGAGGAGACUGGAAUUUACGGUGUAGCAGUGAAAUGCGUAGAGAUCGUAAGGAAGACCAGUGGCGAAGGCGGGUCUCUGGACAGUUCCUGACACUGAGG